CCAGCAUCCCGAGUGGUCGGGACGAUUAUUGGGCCUAAAGCAUCCGUAGCCGGUUUUACAAGUCCUCCGUUAAAUCCAGCUGCUUAACAGAUGGGCUGCGGAGGAUACUAUAAGACUAGGAGGCAGGAGAGGCAAGCGGUACUCAGUGGGUAGGGGUAAAAUCCGUUGAUCCAUUGAAGACCACCAGUGGCGAAGGCGGCUUGCCAGAAUGCGCUCGACGGUGAGGGAUGAAAGCUGGGGGAGCAAACCGGAUUAGAUACCCGGGUAGUCCCAGCUGUAAACGAUGCAGACUCGGUGAUGGACUAGCUUUAUGCUAGUCCAGUGCCGCAGGGAAGCCGUUAAGUCUGCCGCCUGGGUAGUACGGUCGCAAGACUG
rnacentral:rRNA from 1 species